rnacentral:rRNA from 1 species
GAUCAACGCUGGCGGCGUGCAUGAGACAUGCAAGUCGAACGAAGGAUCGGGCUUGCUCGAUCCUUAGUGGCGGACGGCUGAGUAACGCGUAGGUGACCUACCCCGAAGUGGGGAAUAACUGCCCGAAAGGGUGGCUAAUACCGCAUGUGGUCGCACGUUCAUUCGUGCGAGUAAAGCCGCAAGGCGCUUCGGGAGGGGCCUGCGUCCGAUUAGCUCGUUGGUGGGGUAAUGGCUUACCAAGGCGACGAUCGGUAGGUGGUCUGAGAGGACGAUCACCCAGACUGGGACUGAGACACGGCCCAGACUCCUACAGGAGGCAGCAGUCGGGAAUUUUGCCCAAUGGGGGAAACCCUGAAGCAGCAACGCCGCGUGAGGGAUGAAGGCCUUCGGGUUGUAAACCUCUUUUGUCAGGGACGAUGAUGACGGUACCUGGCGAAUAAGCCACGGCUAACUACGUG